GCAUAAUGUCUACGGACCAAAGGGGAUCUUCGGACCUCUUGCCUAAAGAUUAGCCCAAGUGAGAUUAGCUAGUAGGUGAGGUAAUGGCUCACCUAGGCGACGAUCUCUAGCUGGUUUGAGAGGAUGAUCAGCCACACUGGGACUGAGACACGGCCCAGACUCCUACGGGAGGCAGCAGUGGGGAAUAUUGCACAAUGGGCGAAAGCCUGAUGCAGCCAUGCNGCGUGUGUGAAGAAGGCCUUCGGGNUGUAAAGCACUUUCAGUUGUGAGGAAAGGGGUGUAGUUAAUAACUGCAUUCUGUGACGUUAACAACAGAAGAAGCACC
rnacentral:rRNA from 1 species